AAGUGUUCCCAAUCUGCUUUCGGUAUUCUCCAUCUCUCCACCUACCAUUUUACUCAAACAUCUAUAUCAGCAUCCCUAUUUCCUUUCAUUACGUUUUCCUGUGUUUUGGGUUUUCUCUGUGAGUGUGUGUGUGUGUGUGUGUGUUUGUGUGUGUGUUCACCAGGUCCAUCCCCUCCGUGUCCCAGGGGAAAAGGACAAUGGAGUUUUACUCUGUGGACAAGCACAGUGGUUCUGUCCGCCUCUCGCCUCAUCUCCACAACAAAAACGAGGUCAGAGCAUUCCCACGCCGUUCCACAGGCCUGCCUCCUAUUAGCACAAACACCCACCCACACACUAACACACACAUGAAUUCGCUUUCGUCCUCACGGCAUGGGAUGGAGAUUACUGGCUCACUGUAAGGCACGCGUCUGUAAGUCUGAACCUUCAUUAGAAAUGACGGUUCCAGUUAUAGCAAGCGAGACCAUCACUUUCUCCUCACAGGCACCCACACACUCACACAUAAAUACAUUAUAUUUGUUGCAUGGGACGGUAGCACACUGGUAAAUACGCCUCACUUUUUUGGUGUCUUUAACAACUUUUCAGUCUCACUCAAUUCUUCUGCUUCGCUCUCUUCACCUCAUCCAAAUAUUCCUUUCUCCUCCUUGUUCCUGUCUCAGAUAUCCGCUGUGUGGGCAUUUUGGCAGGCCUGGCACCAUUGGGCACCUCAUUCAAUAGUAGAGACGGACGACAGGCGGUUUGCAGGGGGUGCGGGGGGACAGCAACAUGUUGCGAGAUAGUUACACAAUUCAUUGAAACCUAUUUUGAGACACGCUGUGAAUGGCUGCAAACUCAAAGUGCCUUUUCUUUCUCAGAGCCAGACCUGCUGGAAAAGGCACAAAGAGCCUCCAUUGUUUCAGAAGUAGCGGCCUUUAUUACCGCUUUUGUUUAGGCAAUGCAAUUGCGAUUCAGCACAAUGGAACAUUUUUAACUCCGAUCGACCCAUGAGCCCUGGGUCUUCAUUCCUUAUGGGAAUGUACAGAGAGAGCAGUGGGCUUUGCAUACCUCCCACAGCCUGUACUGAGGGCUCAUUUCCAUAAUUACUGCUUUUCAAAUCUCAGCAUUUGCAUACUCACAUUGGGUACAUUUUUAAGAGCAACAGUAAAAAAAAAAACAACAAAAAAAACUAAGAUUAAAAUAAUCAUAAAUAAUAAAUCCAUGUUUCUAAGUUGAAUUUCCACUUCCACUUGUAAUAUUUUUCUCCUUGAUGGGAUUUAGUACAACUUUUACUGCAUUCGAAUUACCUCGGGAGGGGUAAAAAAAAAAGAAAGAGGGGGGAAAAAAACAUGGAUACCUCCAUGUUCGUCUUUUGUUAGCCACAAGCUAGCCAGCUAAGUAUGAUGAGUGAUAUACAUUUUCCUCCUCAAGCACUGACCUGUAAAGUCAGUAGCAAUGUUUCCAUCCAUAUGCGAAUUUUGGGAUAUCGCAAACAAACAAACAAACAAACAAACAAACAAACAAAAUGCUUCAUUGAAACAUCAGAUUUGAACAAAAUCUCGAAAAUAAGCAUUGAAAACGUAUGCACUCAAUUGAGACAGAUUUUUUUUUUAUUCGAUAAGAAGACGCAUAAACAAACAAACAAAAAAAUUCAUGUGACUUUUCCUCAACAAAUCUUGUGAUUAGAUAAUUGGCUGAUGUGAUUGGAUAUUCAGCACAUGUGGCCAAUUUAUACCGUGCAAUGGCAAUGUGUUAUUCUAUCAGAACUGGGGCGCGGUUGAUCGGCAUAACUAACCAGUGGACCAAUCUUGUUGCACAGCAUCUCAAAUGUUGUUUUUGUCAUUCUGAUAAUAUCAGGCAUCCAUUUCCGAUCGCAAGAUAACGUGAGGUUUCUUUUUUUGGAUAAAAGAGCCACAAUGACUUCCCCGGUUGCAGAACCUUCAGUUUGUAUUUAUACUUUGUGCCAGUUUCCCCAGAAGUGGCGAUUUUGUUCUCUUGAACACAUGGGAUGGAAACGGUGCUUUAUUUGUUUUAUAUGAUAUCAUAUAUCUGCAACUUGGAUGGAAACAUGGCUAAUGUUAUAGAUUUAACAAGCAAAUACAUCGGUAUGAUGAUUGAUCUAUAACAAAUACUUGUACUUACAGUAGAACUCAUUUAAAGGUAAGAUGUGCUACUCUGUUUACUUCUGAUGCUGUGUGCAGCCAUGUUGAUGUAAUGUCACUCCCUGAACAAGGAAGAACUCAUGGUUGAAAAGACCAGCCUGAGGGCACAAGUAGGAAUUUCAAGUUUUUCUUUGGCUCUUCCUGGUUGAAGUUUGGGAAUGCCAUGUUUACAGCCUCUAAACGCAGCAUGCUUUAUAACAACUGGCAUGCUUUAUUUUGGACCACAGUAGGCCCUUUU
ensembl:lncRNA